UAUUCCUUGGUUACAAUAAUCACAUUAUUUCCCUCCUUCCCCUCCACCCACUCUUCCCGCAGCCAAUUUCAUUGGGUAUUACAUGUUGUUGUUUACACUAGGAUGUUCAUUUAGAGUCUACAUCCCCAACCAUAUCCCUUCGACCCAUGUAUUCAAGCAAUUGUUUUUCUUCUGUAUUUUUACUCCCACUGUAUUUCCUCUGGAUGUGGAUAGUGGUUUUUCUCCUAGAUCCCUGCAUAUUGUUCAGGGACAUUACACUGCUACUAAUGGAGAAGUCCAUUACCUUCAAUUGUACCACAGUGUAUCAGUCUCUGUGUACAAUGUUUUCCUGGUUCUGCUCCUUUCACUCUGCAUCACUUCCUGGAGGUUGUUCCAGUUCCCAUGGAAUUCCUCCACUUUAUUAUUCCUUUGAGCACAAAUUAACAAGCAUUUAUGCUUUGAUGUUCCCGGUAUUAUACUAAAAUCUGGGAUUCCAAAGCAAGGCAAAAUUCGUUUAUCUUUUUUUGUCUUUGAUCAAGAAAUGGAAACUGUGGACAGUAAUAGAGGACUGAGGAUCCUCCAGGAAGGCUUCAAAUUCUUGAACCCUGAGUAUCUGAACCCAAUCUUAGAGACUCAUUUUAGUUUCACAUACUGGCAACCCCAUGGUCCUAGGAGAGGGAGGCCCCAGGUCAAGGAGUAUAAGGUCUUGAGCUCCAGUCUUCUAAGGAUAGAAUGGGAUUUCCUGAAACGUACCAGCCUCCUAGCAACCUCACCUGGGAGAGCUCUAAGAGCCAAACUUCUAGAGAGAAAAGAUUUAAGGUGGACAAAGAAAUGAAUCUUUAUGCCUCCAGGCAGACCCCAGUCAGAAGACCACCCCACCCCAGGACCUAGCAUCUAAAGAAUAUAUAAACCCCAGAACUGAUGUCGUCUGGGGGACAGCCUCUCCAUUCAUGCUGUCCCCAGGGGGGAACAGCCUUUCCUUUCAUGCUGUCCUCCCAAGGAACUGCUCUCCAUCUUGCUGUUCUACCUUGCUAUCCCCCUGGCCACGCUCAACAUUACUUUCUAAAUUAAUAAAUCUCUUUUUGUUUUUAA